CAGUCGCCGCGGUAAUACGAAGGGUGCAAGCGUUACUCGGAAUUACUGGGCGUAAAGCGUGCGUAGGUGGUGGUUUAAGUCCGUUGUGAAAGCCCUGGGCUCAACCUGGGAAUUGCAGUGGAUACUGGGUCACUAGAGUGUGGUAGAGGAUAGUGGAGUUUCCGGUGUAGCAGUGAAAUGCGUAGAUAUAGGAAGGAACACCAGUGGCGAAGGCGACCACCUGGACUAAUACUGACACUGAGGUGCGAAAGCGUGGGGAGCAAACAGGAUUAGAGACCCGUGUAGUCCAUGUCUCUUAUAC
rnacentral:rRNA from 1 species